rnacentral:rRNA from 1 species
GACGAACGCUGGCGGCGUGCUUAACACAUGCAAGUCGAACGGAAAGGCCCUGCUUUUGUGGGGUGCUCGAGUGGCGAACGGGUGAGUAACACGUGAGUAACCUGCCCUUGACUUUGGGAUAACUUCAGGAAACUGGGGCUAAUACCGGAUAGGAGCUCCUGCUGCAUGGUGGGGGUUGGAAAGUUUCGGCGGUUGGGGAUGGACUCGCGGCUUAUCAGCUUGUUGGUGGGGUAGUGGCUUACCAAGGCUUUGACGGGUAGCCGGCCUGAGAGGGUGACCGGCCACAUUGGGACUGAGAUACGGCCCAGACUCCUACGGGAGGCAGCAGUGGGGAAUAUUGCACAAUGGGCGGAAGGCUGAUGCAGCAACGCCGCGUGCGGGAUGACGGCCUUCGGGGUGUAAACCGCUUUCGCCUGUGACGAAGCGUGAGUGACGGUAAUGGGUAAAGAAGCACCGGCUAACUACAUG